rnacentral:rRNA from 1 species
UCAAUUAUUUAAUAGCCUCUGGCUAUAGGAAAUUGUUAGUGGCAGACGGGUGAGUAAUGCGUAGGAAUCUACCUAGUAGUACGGAAUAGCCAUUAGAAAUGGUGGGUAAUACUGUAUAAUCCCCGAGGGGGAAAGAUUUAUCGCUAUUAGAUGAGCCUACGUUAGAUUAGCUAGUUGGUGAGGUAAUGGCUUACCAAGGCUAUGAUCUAUAGCUGGUCUGAGAGGACGAUCAGCCACACUGGAACUGAGAUACGGUCCAGACUCCUACGGGAGGCAGCAGUGGGGAAUAUUGGACAAUGGGCGAAAGCCUGGUCCAGCUAUGCCGCGUGAGUGAAGAAGGCCUUCGGGUUGUAAAACUCUUUCAAUAGGGAAGAUAAUGACGGUACCUAUAAU